AUCCGUGAAGAGGCAGAUAUAAAUAAAUAAGACAAGGAGACCCUAUGGAGCUUUAAUUUAUUAAGUGCAAAUAAAACCUCAAACAAGCCUACAGGCCCUAGCCUACUAUCCCUGCAUUAAAAAAUUUUGGUUGGGGUGACCUCAGAGCAUAGUUCAACCUCCAAACAACCUAAACUAAGACCGCACUAGUCCAAGCAAAUAUAGAUAGAUAGGCGAUAGAUAGAUAGAUAGAUACAUACAUACAUACACACAUACAUACAUACAUACAUACAUACCCAAUAAUUUGAUCAAUAGAAUAAGUUACGCUAGGGAUAACAGUGCAAUCCUAUUCUAGAGUUCAUAUCGACAAUAGGGUUUACAACCUCGAUGUUGGAUCAGGACAUCCUAAUGGUGUAGCCGCUAGUAAGGGUUUGUUUGUUCAACAAUUAAAGUCCUGUGUGAUCUGAGUUCAGACUGGAGUAAUCCAGGUUGGUUUCUAUCUAUUU
rnacentral:ncRNA from 1 species